ACUGUUGUCAGGGUUCGUUCGAAAGCCUACGUGCGCUAGCUUCAAUUCUUUGUUGAUCUUCAAAGUAUCUUAAAAAUAAAACAAAUCAAAAUGUUCGUAUCAACAGUCUCCCGUAUUGCCCCCGUUGCCAGGACCGCUCUCCUUAACGGCUCCAAGCAAUACUUGCGACCAUUGAGCAGCUGGUCUCCAAGGUGAAGAGUCUCUAGUCGAUAGAAUAAUGUAGGUAAGGGAAGUCGGCAAAUUAGAUCCGUAACUUCGGGAUAAGGAUUGGCUCUGAAGAUUGAGAUAGUCGGGCUUGAUUGGGAAGCAAUAACAUGGUUUAUGUACUCGUUCUGGGUAAAUAGAGAUUUUCGGAUCUUGUUCCUCGGAUAGUAGUUACGUAGCCAAUUGUGGAACUUUCUUGCUAAAAUUUUUAGGGAAUUAUCGCAAGAUAUAUUCCUUUUAAAUUAUAACGACUAUCAAUUAACAAUCAAUUCAGAACUGGCACGGACUUGGGGAAUCCGACUGUCUAAUUAAAACAAAGCAUUGUGAUGGCCCUAACGGGUGUUGACACAAUGUGAUUUCUGCCCAGUGCUCUGAAUGUCAAAGUGAAGAAAUUCAAGUAAGCGCGGGUAAACGGCGGGAGUAACUAUGACUCUCUUAAGGUAGCCAAAUGCCUCGUCAUCUAAUUAGUGACGCGCAUGAAUGGAUUAACGAGAUUCCUACUGUCCCUAUCUACUAUCUAGCGAAACCACAGCCAAGGGAACGGGCUUGGAAUAAUUAGCGGGGAAAGAAGACCCUGUUGAGCUUGACUCUAAUCUGGCAGUGUAAGGAGACAUAAGAGGUGUAGCAUAAGUGGGAGAUACUGGUCUUUCGGGGCCUUUGUCACCAAUGAAAUACCACUACUCUUAUUGUUUCCUUACUUACUUGAUUAAGUGGAACGUGUAUCAUUUCUUAGCCAUUAUACGGAUAUAUUUAUAUAUCUUAUGGUAUUGGGUUAUGAUGCAAGCUUCUUGAUCAAACUACUAAGAGUUUGUUAUAUAAUUGUAAACAAAUUUUAAUGAGAUGAUGGCAUUUCGGUGCUAUUGUCAAUAUUUGAAAUUUGGUAUAACUCCCAAUACUCAGGUAUGAUCCAAUUCAAGGACAUUGCCAGGUAGGGAGUUUGACUGGGGCGGUACAUCUCUCAAAUAAUAACGGAGGUGUCCCAAGGCCAGCUCAGUGCGGACAGAAACCACACAUAGAGCAAAAGGGCAAAUGCUUUACUGCCACAAAUCAGGUCAUUCCAGACCUCCCCAGUCACUCGUGACAUUGAUUCAGCUGCCAAAUUCAUUGGUGCUGGUGCUGCAACAGUCGGUGUAGCUGGUUCCGGUGCCGGUAUCGGAACAGUAUUCGGUUCCCUCAUCAUUGGUUAUGCCAGAAACCCAUCAUUGAAACAACAGUUGUUCUCCUACGCUAUCUUGGGUUUCGCCCUUUCUGAAGCUAUGGGUCUUUUCUGUCUUAUGAUGGCUUUCUUGCUUCUCUUCGCUUUCUAAAGUGUGUAUUUAUGUCAUAGGAAGGACGUCAAAUCUUAUAAUAAUAACAACAAAAUUAAUUGAUAAACAUCUGUACUACAACAACCACAGCUCCAUUAUCUUUAUUGUUUUUAAAAAACAUCCAAGAGUAAUAAAAAGAAAAGCAACACUUUUUAUUUAAGUUUAAAACGGAAAUAAAACAAA
rnacentral:rRNA from 1 species